AAUGAACGCUGGCGGCGUGCCUAACACAUGCAAGUCGAACGAGAAAGCUCUUCGGAGUGAGUAAAGUGGCGAACGGGUGAGUAACACGUAAGAAUCUGCCCUUUAGUGGAGAAUACCUUCGAGAAAUCGAAGUUAAUACUGCAUAAGCCCUGCGGGGGAAAAACGGCCUCUUUGCCGUCGCUGAAGGAUGAGCUUGCGGACUAUUAGCUAGUUGGUGGGGUAAAGGCCUACCAAGGCGAUGAUGGUUAGCCGGCCUGAGAGGGUGUACGGCCACAUUGGGACUGAGACACGGCCCAGACUCCUACGGGAGGCAGCAGUGGGGAAUAUUGCACAAUGGGCGAAAGCCUGAUGCAGCGACGCCGCGUGGAGGAUGAAGGUCUUCGGAUUGUAAACUCCUGUUAAGAGGGAAGAAAAGCUUGCGAGUAAUAUGCGCAAGUGUUGACGGUACCUCUAGAGAAAGCCCCGGCUAACUUCGUGCCAGCCGCCGCAGUAAUAC
rnacentral:rRNA from 1 species